AGCCCGUGGAGAAAGAGCGGAGGCGCUGUGCGGUUUUCCGUGGGGGUGUCAGCUCCGGCCCGUGCCGGAAGAAGGAGCCAAGACCGGGAUCGCUUUUUUGCCCCUUCCUCACCCCACAUUCGGUCACGAAGAGGUGGAAACAAAAGGACACUUACAAUGUAGUCCAACCUCCUGAUUUUACAUAUGAGGGGAUUGUUCCACGGAAGUUAAACAAUUUGCCAGACGUCAUUAUGUAUCUACUGAGUGAGAGAAUCAUAAAUAUUGUUGAUAGUUAACGCCACUUUUGGUUAAUGUCCCUUUUCCUUAAAAGAGCCAGAUGAUUUUAAUCCAAACUUAAUUUCAGUAAAUUUUCUCUGAACUAUCUUUUUAUUUAUACUCUCCUGUUACAGCUCUAUUAAGAUUAAUAAAUUGGCAGGUCCUCCCUUUAAAAAACAAAAAUCAAUAAAGUCACAAGGCCUUCAAUGUGCCUGACUGGAAAGGUAAAACACCUGUCAGUUUUAGUUGAGUGCAAGGGCAUUCUUCUAGUUUUACGCAGUUUAUAAUUAUGGAAUAACUUUUUAAGCAAAAUAAAGGUAAAAAGAAGAAUUGCAUUCUGGGUUUCAACAACAAAAACAAAUUGUUCCCAAAAUAGUAGGUCUGCAUCUCAGUACGCAAUUCACAUAAAGCUCUUCUAUCCCACUGCAAUCUGCCACCGUAGGUUCAGUCGUGAGUGCAUUGAUCGUUGGUCAGACACUUUUUCCUCAUAUUCUGUGUGUGUAUCGCUAACUACUGCGGUAGCAAAAAUAUAGUCCCUGCCCUUGAAGAGCUCAUAUUUUAGUGAAGGAUGCGGAAGUGGAGUGUGAUGUAAAUAAAGUUUGUGUUGUAAGAAAAAGUGCUGUGGGAGCUCAGAACACAGCAGCUAAACGCUCAGGUGUUUAUUGUAGUCCAGAAUGCCCUAUCCUAAUUCCACCACUCCAAGAUCCUGGACAAGCGACGUGCCUUUCUGAGCCUUAAUUGCCCCAUCUAUGAAAUGAGGGGGAAGGAAUGAUACUGCCUACCUUGAAAGGAUUUUUUAAAAAAUGUUCUCAGAGUUUGUUUUAUGCCAGGCACACUGUAAAGCACUUCGGCUGUUGUGAUUUUCUUGAUCCUCACAGUUACCCUGAAGAGGCUGGUUCUGAAUCUGACCCGUUUUGGCAAUGAAAGAUUAUAUAAAUCAAACUUGUAGCAGCUGCAAGUGGUAGAGCCUAAAUUUAAACGGAGGUCUAUGUGAUUCCUUUAAGAUUUUUUUUAAUUAAAUACAACGCAUAUAAAAACACUAGUAUAUGUUGAGGCCCGAAAUAUUAGCUAUCAUCAUUAUUUUGCUUUAUACAUAUGUAUUAUUAUUAAACGUAUGUAGAAGCUGUUAUCAUUAAAACAAUUCUAAUAAAUUCAAAAGCGUGAAAUUAUAAUACGUACUAGUCAUUAUGUUUUCUGAAUUUAUGAAGCUCCAGAAUGUCAAUACUAUUGUUUAUUAGGAGGUAGGAGGAAUUUGAGAAAUAUUUACAUUGAAAUGUAGAAGCUGUUAUCAUUAAAACAAUUCUAAUAAAUUCAAAAGCAUGAAAUUA
rnacentral:lncRNA from 1 species